rnacentral:rRNA from 1 species
AUUGAACGCUGGCGGCAGGCCUAACACAUGCAAGUCGAGCGGAGCGGCGGACGGGUGAGUGAUGCCUAGGAAUCUGACAGGUAGUGAGGGAUAAGGUCCGGAAACGGGAGCUAUGACCGCAUACUAUUACAGUCGCCUAUGUCGGAUUGGCUAGUUGGUGGGGUAGAGGCCUACAAAGACGACGAUCCGUAUCUGGUCUGAGAGGAUGAUCAGUCACACUGAAACUGAGACACGUUCCAGACUCCUACGGUAGGCAGCAGUGGGGAAUAUUUCACAAUGGGCGAAAGCCUGAUGCAGCCAUGCCGCGUGUGUGAAGAAGGCCUUCGGUUUGUAAAGCACUGUCAGUUGGGAGGCGUUACCCGCAGAAGAAGCACCGGCUAACUCCGUGCCAGCAGCCGCGGUAAUUC